rnacentral:rRNA from 1 species
AUUGAACGCUGGCGGCAGGCUUAACACAUGCAAGUCGAGCGGGCGAGGUUGCUUCGGUAACUGAGCUAGCGGCGGACGGGUGAGUAAUGCUUAGGAAUCUGCCUAUUAGUGGGGGACAACAUUCCGAAAGGAAUGCUAAUACCGCAUACGCCCUACGGGGGAAAGCAGGGGCUCUUAGGACAUUGCGCUAAUAGUAGAGCCUAAGUCAGAUUAGCUAGUUGGUGGGGUAAAGGCAUACCAAGGCGACGAUCUGUAGCGGGUCUGAGGGGAUGAUCCGCCACACUGGGACUGAGACACGGCCCAGACUCCUACGGGAGGCAGCAGUGGGGAAUAUUGGACAAUGGGCGGAAGCCUGAUCCAGCCAUGCCGCGUGUGUGAAGAAGGCCUUUUGGUUGUAAAGCACUUUAAGCGAGGAGGAGGCUACUUGGAUUAAUACUCUAGGAUAGUGGACGUUACUCGCAGAAUAAGCACCGGCUAACUCUGUGCCAGCCGCCGCGGUAA